rnacentral:SRP_RNA from 1 species
GUAGGCGGACCUCGUGUGACGCUAUCCCUCGAACCUCCCCAGGGCCGGAAGGCAGCAAGGAUAAGUGGGCUCUGGUGGGUGCGCGAGGUCCCCUGAUCUC